rnacentral:misc_RNA from 1 species
UUUCCGUAGGUGAACCUGCGGAAGGAUCAUUAUUGAAUAUUCCUGAUGAGUUGUAGCUGGCUCUUUGGAGCAUGUGCACGCUUGUCUUGAUCUUAUUCAUCCACCUGUGCACAUUUUGUAGUCUUUUGGGCUGAGGCGAGUAUCGGAUGGAUGUCUACCCGGAUGUGAGGACUGCUGAGUGCGAAAGCAUACGGCUCUUCUCUGUUUGACCUCACCCUUGAGUACUAUAUAUUCAUAUACCACAUAGUAUGUUGUAGAAUGUGAUCAUUGGGCCUUUGUGCCUAUAAUAAUCAUAUACAACUUUCAGCAACGGAUCUCUUGGCUCUC